UACGUAGGGUGCGAGCGUUUAAUCGGAAUUACUGGGCGUAAAGCGUGCGCAGGCGGUUCGUUGUGUCGGCGGUGAAAGCCCCGGGCUUAACCUGGGAAUGGCCGUUGAAACUGGCGAACUGGGGUGUGGCAGAGGGGGGUGGAAUUCCGCGUGUAGCAGUGAAAUGCGUAGAGAUGCGGAGGAACACCGAUGGCGAAGGCAGCCCCCUGGGCUAACACUGACGCUCAGGCACGAAAGCGUGGGGAGCAAACAGG
rnacentral:rRNA from 1 species